UACGUAGGUGGCAAGCGUUAUCCGGAUUUAUUGGGCGUAAAGGGAACGCAGGCGGUCUUUUAAGUCUGAUGUGAAAGCCUUCGGCUUAACCGGAGUAGUGCAUUGGAAACUGGGAGACUUGAGUGCAGAAGAGGAGAGUGGAACUCCAUGUGUAGCGGUGAAAUGCGUAGAUAUAUGGAAGAACACCAGUGGCGAAAGCGGCUCUCUGGUCUGUAACUGACGCUGAGGUCCGAAAGCGUGGGGAGCAAACAGG
rnacentral:rRNA from 1 species